ACCCAAAGAAAGAACACUAGGAAAUGAGUGUGGAUCACAAGACAUAAGUGGAAUCACUGAAAUGCCUUUUUAAUUUUUUCUUAUGAAAUUGACAAAUAUCAACAAAGAUAAACAUUUUAAUAUACAAAAAAGAAUAGAAAAGAAGGAUUAUUUAUGAAAACAUGAAUCUCUAUUAUGCACAGCUUGGAUUUUUUAAAAAUUUGGUCAGUAAAUGCUGACAAAGUAUGGAGACUAAAAAUGAUGCUGGAACCAUGGAAUUAGGAAUAUGUUUUCAAUUAUCCUGAAAAUGAUAGAUUGGAAAAAUACAGCCUCAUUUGUCUGACUCUAUCCAUAUGACUGAUAUAUCUUAUCUUCUACCAUAAGAAGAGGAGAAAAGAGUUUGGCAAUGUUCCUAUGGAAAGAAGCUCUCUGGAUCUGAUAUAUCCAAGUUACACCAAAAUUCCAGACAAAUUUAAGAAGGUAAUUUGUGAGAAUUUAGGAAAAGAUGCCUCCAUUACUAAGUGUCAACAUACUUUGAUAUAUCCAAGAAAUCAAGGUCUUAUCUAUUUCAGUAUUACCUACAAGGGUGCAGAUAGCAACUCAUCUAUUCCACCUUAUAUUGUAUAUUUCUUGUUUAUAUUCUCCUCAUAGAUCUAUCCAACAUACAUGAAGAUUCCUUUCAGUUACAUCAUUUUUCAUACAAACAAUUUUCACUGCACUAACAAAUAUAAAACUAUGUCAAUACAAACCCUCCUAACAAAAUUCAAAAUAGAAAA